UCUUCAGAGUCUGGGGUGGCCUCGAAGAUCCCAGACGAGCCCCCAAUAGAAAGAUCCCCGAAGAGAGACCCCUAUUCAAGUCUUGGGAAAUCGUGGACCCCAGACACAGAGAGACCA
rnacentral:pre_miRNA from 14 species